rnacentral:rRNA from 1 species
UACGUAGGGGGCAAGCGUUGUCCGGAAUUAUUGGGCGUAAAGCGCGCGCAGGCGGUCCUUUAAGUCUGAUGUGAAAGCCCACGGCUCAACCGUGGAGGGUCAUUGGAAACUGGGGGACUUGAGUACAGAAGAGGAAAGCGGAAUUCCACGUGUAGCGGUGAAAUGCGUAGAGAUGUGGAGGAACACCAGUGGCGAAGGCGGCUUUCUGGUCUGUAACUGACGCUGAGGCGCGAAAGCGUGGGUAGCAAACAGG